CCCUUAGAUGUCCGGGGCCGCACGCGCGCUACACUGAAGGAAUCAGCGUGGCUUUCUCCCUGACCCGAAAGGGUUGGGAAACCCGUUGAAUCUCCUUCGUGAUAGGGAUUGGGGCUUGAAAUUGUUCCCCAUGAACGAGGAAUUCCCAGUAAGCGCGAGUCAUAAGCUCGCGUUGAUUACGUCCCUGCCCUUUGUACACACCGCCCGUCGCUACUACCGAUUGAACGGUUUAGUGAGGGCCUCGGAUUAGUCUCGGCCCGCUCUUUACCGGGCGGCGCCGUUGGUCGAGAAGACGCUCGAACUUGAUCGUUUAGAGGAAGUAAAAGUCGUAACA
rnacentral:rRNA from 1 species